GAAUUGCAGAAUUCCGUGAACCAUCGAAUCUUUGAACGCAUAUUGCGCUCGACUCCUCGGAGAAGAGCAUGUCUGCCUCAGCGUC
rnacentral:rRNA from 2 species